ACAUGCAAUCAGCGUUGCUGAAAGCAGCUGUCCAGGUCUCUUGUCGCUUAAAUUCCACUUCUCCUUGGAGCGGGGAUGAAGUCUGAGAUCUCGAAUGUGGCCUCUGAGGCCCCAUAAGAUCAGGCCCUGCUUUGUGUCCUGAUGCCAAGGUCCUCAAUGCUGAGAGCCCUGAGCCCAAGACAAGGUGUGGUGCACACAGACCUUGCCUGGAUCUUUUCGAAACCAGUGGUGGAUGGCCAAGAUUCAUUUCCACUUAUUUCCCAUGCAAAAGGCAAAGUUGUCAGCUGUUUGGUGAAUAUGUCAGAGCUCUGGCCUAGAAGAAUCUCCUGGAACCCUGGCUGCCUGGGUCCCCAGGUAUCAAUGUCAACAACAAUCCGUGUCCAACAUCUUCAAAAUGUUUGGGCAUUUACCCUCCCCAGAGUCCAGUUACCCAAGGAAAUGGCUGCAGGUCCCUUUGGAGGAAGGUCUGGGAGAUUAGCUUCUUCUUCAGUCCGUCUUGCCCUCAGCUUCCUGAUGAGCCAUCCUUGGUUUAUUUUAGUUGUAGAGGUUGAGCAAUAAUACUUUGUUGGCUGCCUGUUUUUCCCCUCGAAUGCAAAUUUCUUUUUACCAUUUCCGUAGCUCUUUGUGGGUUAGAUCCCACUAGCUGUCACACCCACUUUGCUGCCCCUUAUGAUAAUUACAUUAUGAUGACUACAAACACCUUGCAUUGGACAGUAAGUGCUACCUCUAUCAGUCCCAUUGUUACUAGGGAGCCCAGGCCUAUAUCAUCUACCUUUGGAUAUCCUGUAAUAGUCUUGACCUUCAGAGAAGAGCACCCACUGAGCUUCUUCAUGACACUUGCCCUCUCACCGGCGUAUUCUUCUUGCUUUGGCAAAUACAGCAUUCUUCUAGGCCCUCUUGUGAAAAAAAAACCUAUCAGCUGUUCGGUUCUCUGGCCUUGUAUGGUAUAUCCACUCUAGCUUGCCUAUUUUCUGAGCCUUUCAUCCCUUCCUUCCCCAUCCUCCAUGAUCUGACAUCUCCAUUUGACUUGGCAUCACAUUUUCUAAGCGUCCAACUCCUGGGGUCCUUACCAGGAUGUUAAAUGUUGCAUCAAAGGAGAGUGCUUCCAUAGCAAUACAUUUUCCCCAUCCAGCUUUGCAUUUCAUCCCACUUUGUCCAGCAGUCUCUCUAUUCCCUCCUGCACAUGUGCUUGUGGCACUUGUAGGACAUAUUGGCUGGGUCCCACAGCUCUCUGGGCUAUAGUUCGUUUCUUCCCUUAGCACGUUUACACUUUUCUGGCUAGAAUAUGUUGUGGCUUGACCUUACCUAUGGGUCUGGUGGCCAAGAGUAGAUUUUUGAGGGGAGAAGGAGGGAGUUGUCAUGCAUUGUCUUGCAAAGCAGAACCUCAUCAUCAUCUUCAUGCAAAAGCAGGCAUUAGCCUUUAAGGAGAAGAGUAGGAUACUAUUCCAGGCCUAGAGAAUUCCAGAGGAUCUGGGAACUUGAGAACUUGAGAUGUUUUAAUAUAUGAACCCAAAUGUCCCCAUCCCACUCUUUCCUAAUCAUAGAACUGACUUUGGCCUAGCCGACCUGCCAGGACUAAACUUCAGUGUUGCUUUCAGUAUUUCUACUCUUAUAAUUAAACCUGGGGCCUGCUUCUCAGCUGUAUCUGCCCUGCAGUUGCAGAGGAUAAUAGUCUUUUCAUAGGCUUCAUAUAAAAGCCAAGAGGUCCUCUGGUAUGUGUACCUUGCCUUAUAUUGGUGUUUAAUCACUUAGUCUUUUAUUAAAUUUCUCCAAUGAAUUAACAGCUUCUAGCAACAACCAUCUGAUUCCAUAGUUCUUAUAAUUACUAUUUCCCCCAAAACUCUUAAACACCUGAGAUCUCGCAUCUGCCAGAGCAGUUUCUUCCCAAGUAUCAUGUCCUAGUUCACCACCAGUGAAAAUUUUAACAAGUGAAUCAUAACUGCAAGUGCCUACCACCAGUGAUGAGGUCUUCACUGAAGCAGCUAGCAGAUGACAGCUCCAACAUGCUGCUGGGACCAACGUUCAUAGGUCAAGUUCCCCAGAAAACAGACUGUGUGCAGGAGGUUUCCUAUGAGUGGUCUCAGGACCAGCCCCUGCGAGGGGUGAGGGAAGCAGAAGUGGGCAGGGGGAAUAAACUAUGAUCCAGUUGCAACAGCAGACUCAGCCAAUCCUGUGGGGAGCUCUGGAACUGGACUCUUUCCAGUUGAGGCAAGACGGCUGGAACCCUGUGCCCCUUCAUCAGUGAGUAAUAGGAUGCAGGCUGCCUCCAGGUAAGGGAUGUAUCUUUGGGUGAGACUGCUUCUUAGGACCAAUGGUAAUUCUGGAGAGGGGCUCAGCAAGAGGCUACAAUAUCUACAUCUUGCAGCAGCUAGGGGAAGUAGUGCUCCCAUCCUGAUGGCACAUCUGGGCAGCAUGUCCCUUCACUUUUUCUCUCCAAUGAGAGAGAAGAAAAGAGAUUAAAAAUAAAAUAGCCCCUUUGUUUUAUAUUUGAAAUGAUUGCUCUUGUGAUUAUAAUUUGCAACCUUAAUAUAAAAUGCACUGAAUUAACCUUCUACCACGUCAGAUACGAGGUUUGUUGUUGUUGUUGUUGUUGAUGAUGAUGUUGUUUUUGAGACGGAGUCUCGCUCUGUCACCCAGGCUGCGGUGCAGUGGCAUGAUCUUGGCUCACUGCAAGCUCUGCCUCCUGGGUUCAUGCCAUUCACCUGCCUCAGCCUCCCGAGUAGCUGGGAAUACAGGCAUCUACCACCGCGCCCAGCUAAUUUUUUUUUUUUUUUAUUUUUAGUAGAGAUGGGGUUUCACCGUGUUAGCCAGGAUGGUCUCAAUCUCCUGACCUCAUGAUCCACCCACCUUGGCCUCCCAAAAUGCUGGGAUUACAGGCAUGAGCCACUGCAUCUGGCCCAGAUACAAGGUUUUAAUGGUAUAUUCACAUUUACCUGCUUCUCCAUCUUUGGUGCUAUGAUGCCAUAUAUUUUACUUCUACAUAUGUUAUAAACCCCAUAAAUCCCAUAGCAUAUUGCUAUUAUUUGUGCCUUGAACAAUUACCUUUUAAAGCAAUGAUGAAAAGCAGCCUUUCAUAGUGACUCGCAUAUUUGCCCUUUUGGGUGCUCUGCAUUUCAGUAUCAGUGGAGAUACCUUGCUGAUCUUGUCAGUAUUUCAGGUAAGAAGGGGUUAAGCUGCGAUUCCAGAUGCCCUUGGUUCCUCGUGAGGUAAACUCUGGGCUUCUGAAUCCAAGCACCACGGGGCAUGUUUUCCAGUUUCUCUUCCACUGCCACCUCCUCAACAAAAUUUGGGACUGGGUGUGGUCUAGGCAGGCUGAAUUACUGGGCUGAGUGCUUUGUUUGGGGCUCCUCCAGAUGCCAUCCACCCUGCCAGCUGGCACAGUCAGGCUCAGCUGAGUUCUCCCCAUCCCUGCAGAGUCUCCCUGGCUCCAGCAGGACCCUCCUCCAUCUUGUAAUUCAGGGAUCUGACUCCCUCCCGCAGGUGUGGAAGCUGCUCACCAUAAAGGUCUCACUUCUCUCUGGAGUUCAGGUCAUCCAAGAUUUCUUGCAUCCCACUGCUCUUAACUAGCCUGGUAGAGAAGCACACUUUUUAUUUUGUCCCAGCUUUUCUUGUAGUUCUCUCAGAAACAAAGGUCUUUCCCGUUCUCUUACGUUCUAACCAGAAGCAGAGGUCCUCUGCCUGCUUGCCUGGCCUUUGCUCUCUUUCCUCCUGCAUCAGUGGAUUGCUGUGAGGAGCUGAUGUGGAUCAUAUUAUAUUAUGAGCCAGGAAGAUCACAGGGCUCUGGUUUACCCAAAGCCAGUAGCUGGGCUGCUCGAUGGGUCACUCCCACUUGGAAUGAUCACUGCAUCUCCCUUUAUCUCAAGGAAACACUAGUGGAAUCACCAGAGCACAUACAGCAUUGCAG
rnacentral:lncRNA from 1 species